CAGUCUCCGCAGAUGAGCCUACUGCCUC
rnacentral:piRNA from 1 species